rnacentral:rRNA from 1 species
UACAGAGGGGGCAAGCGUUAUUCGGAAUUAUUGGGCGUAAAGGGCGCGUAGGCGGCUUGGCAAGUGGAAGGUGAAAUCCCUCGGCUCAACCGAGGAACUGCCUUCUAAACUGCUUUGAUUGAGUCCGGGAGAGGUCAGUGGAAUUCCCAGUGUAGCGGUGAAAUGCGUAGAUAUUGGGAGGAACACCGGUGGCGAAGGCGGCAUCCUGGACCGGUAUUGACGCUGAGGCGCGAAAGCCAGGGGAGCAAACGGG